UACUUAUCCAGAAAGACCGAGGGAAUGGGCCCUAUGACGUCUUAGCAACCUGAAUCAAAACAAGGUGCUAACUCCCUUUCUGCCUCUCUGGCAGAAGAAGAUAAGUG
rnacentral:ncRNA from 2 species